CAGUCCCAGAGAGUUGAUCCUGGCUCAGGAUGAACGCUGGCGGCGUGCUUAACACAUGCAAGUCGAACGAGGCUUAUUCGUGGAAGUUUCGGAUGGAAACGGAUAUGACCGAGUGGCGGACGGGUGAGUAACGCGGUGGGGAACCUGCCCCAGUUCCGGGGGAUACCAGUUGGAAACGACUGUUAAUACCGCAUAAGCGCACAGCACCGCAUGGUGGAGUGUGAAAAACUGAGGUGGAAUGCGAUCGGCCCCGCGUCUGAUUAGCCAGUUGGCAGGGUAACGGCCUACCAAAGCGACGAUCAGUAGCCGGCCUGAGAGGGCGACCGGCCACAGUUGGGACUGAGACACCGGACCCAAACUCCGUACGGGAGGCAGCAGGUGGGGAAUAUUGCAACAAGUGGGGGAAACCCUGAUGCAGCCGACGCCGCGUGAGUGAAGAAGUAUUUCGGUAUGUAAAGCUCUAUCAGCAGGGAAGAAGAUGACGGUACCUGCACAAGAAGCCCCGGCUAACUACGUGCCAGCCGCCGC
rnacentral:rRNA from 1 species